GACGAACGCUGGCGGCGUGCCUAAUACAUGCAAGUAGAACGCACAGUUUAUACCGUAGCUUGCUACACCAUAGACUGUGAGUUGCGAACGGGUGAGUAACGCGUAGGUAACCUGCCUGGUAGCGGGGGAUAACUAUUGGAAACGAUAGCUAAUACCGCAUAAUAUUGAUUAUUGCAUGAUAAUUAAUUGAAAGGUGCAAUUGCACCACUACCAGAUGGACCUGCGUUGUAUUAGCUAGUAGGUGAGGUAACGGCUCACCUAGGCGACGAUACAUAGCCGACCUGAGAGGGUGAUCGGCCACACUGGGACUGAGACACGGCCCAGACUCCUACGGGAGGCAGCAGUAGGGAAUCUUCGACAAUGGACGAAAGUCUGACCGAGCAACGCCGCGUGAGUGAAGAAGGUUUUCGGAUCGUAAAGCUCUGUUGUAAGAGAAGAACGGGUGUGAGAGUGGAAAGUUCACACUGUGACGGUAUCUUACCAGAAAGGGACGGCUAACUACGUG
rnacentral:rRNA from 1 species